rnacentral:lncRNA from 1 species
AUGCCUCAUGGGUCGCUCCUCGUGGAGGAACAUCGGACUCGAGGGGCUCAGCUCCACUGCAGCCGUCAUUACCAGAUCCAAGCGCUUCAGUUUCACCUGAGGAGUGAGACCAGGAUGUGUUUACUUAAUCUCUGCAGAAAACACACCCCUUCCAUAUGUCCUGCACCAGCUUUUCAAUCAGCUCAAGAGCUUGAUUUGGGAAAACUAAGAGGAAAAGUUGUUGUGCUGUAUAUAUAUAUUCACCCCCUUUAUAUAAUGUGUAACAGAAAAAUAACAUGUAAUAAUAAUAAUUUAUUAUUAUUAUUAUUAUUUUAACAGAUGCUAGACUGAUAAAUGUAAUUUUAUAUUAUAAAUAUAUACACAUAUAUAUAUAUAUAGAUAUAUAUCGAAAAUACAAUAAAAUACAAUAAAAAUUGCAUACAUAUUUCCUUUUUCACUUUAAUAUUUAUUAUAUAUGUUGAGGUGUAAAAGUUCUGUAUGGUUCUGUAUUUUAUUUUAUAUUUUUUUACAUUGGAUAAUAUAAUAAAAUAAUUAAUAAAUUAAUAAAAAUAUCAUGUUUAUACAAUUUGUCAUGUAAAAUAAUGAUGACUUUGAACAAAUGCCUGAUAUGGGAAAUUAUUAUUAUAAUUAUUAUAACAGAUACUGUAAAUAAUAAAUAUAUAAAAAACUGAUAAAUAUAACUAAUUUAUUUUCUAGUUAAUUUAUUAUUAUUUUAUUUGCUAAAUGAUUAAAUGUAAAAAUUAUUUUAUUUAUCUUAGUGUAUAAAUUGUGUGUGUGUGUGUGUAUAUAUAUAUAUAUAUUAGUUCAUAAAUAUACACAGUACACACACAUAUAUUAUCUAAACAAAAACUUUUAUUUUGGAUGCGAUUAAUCACGAUUAAUCGUUUGACAGUACUCAUAUAUUUUUAUAUAUUACAUCUUACAAUAAGAGAUACUGUGCUGUAUUUUAAAACUGAUCAGGGUUUAGCUUUCCAGUAGAUGCCAUACACUAUUUAUCUGAACAACUGAUCCUCUGUUAGCUGGAUUUCCAGCAGGGUUCACAGAGAGCGUCUGAGGUACUCACGGCAAAUAAAGCAUGUAGAUUUAGCCAUCCUGUGGCGGUGAUGCUAACGUCUGCUUGGGGAGGCAGGCUGAUUCUACAGUGCGCAAAUAACGUGUCACCGGUGGACGAGUUCUGUGAACAACAUGAAAUGGCUUUUUAAUCAGUCGGAAACUGAAUGUUCCAGAGAGGAAACCAGAGCACAUAUAGAUUCCAAACAUAUGGUCGUGUUAUCUUUAGCCAACAGGAUCAAGCAGGUUGGGUGGUUUGUCUUCAUCAAGCUUGUCACUUUAACCGUGUGUUGCUUUGUUUCCCGGCAGAUGGGUGCAAUUUGUGUAUCGCAAAACUUUUGAAGAAGUGAUAAAAGAGCGAAGGUUACCGUGAGCGUGAGAUCUUCCUGCGAGGACGAGUCGGCGGUAAUGACUCGUGGAACACUGCAGCGCGAGCCAGCCGUCUGAGACCAAUAAACAGAGCUCUUAAAGGGACAGUGCAGCCAAAAAUUAAAAUGUGUUGUUAAUUUACUCACCCUCAGUCCAUCCAACAGUAAGGAAGAUUUUUAGCUGAAACCGUGAUCCUUGGCGAUUGAUAAAUGCAGAGAGUGAAUAAAGGCAUAGCAGGCAACACGAUAUUAACACCCGUGACUCCUGAUGAUAUACUGAGGUCUUAUGAAGAGAAACGAUCAGUCUGUGCAAUGUUAUUCACAGCAUUAUUACCUGUAAUCCAGAGCCUCAGGCAAACGGGGAAAUCAGAUUCGGUUCUUUCAAUACACAAUUAAUAUUAUCAAAGCACCAAAUAAUGACGUAGAAACGCGGAUGUUUUACAAAUUUAAACCAUAUAAAGUGAAUAAUCUUGUCUUUUUGUCAUGAACAAAGAGAAACCAUAAAACAUUAAUAUGGUCCCUUUCACUGAGUGUUCGGUUCACACGUGUGCAUAUAAGCGGCUCACUGGUCUUCGGUUCGAGUUGAACUGUUUGCGCAGUUCAGUGACUGAAUGAUUCAUUCAUCACAGAAUCAGAUACGCCUCUAUUUUGGCUCAUUUCGAGUCGCAGUGACUGUCUGAGAGUGAGUUGUGAUUGAGGAACUUGUAGAUCUGUGCUGCUCGAACUGUUUCAAAUGCUAGCGAACACUUCACUAAAAAGAAUCAGUUCAAAAGAAUGAAUCGUUCGUUCACGCCGGACUGUUUGUCUGAGGCUCUUGAUUACAGAUAAUAAUGUUAAUAUACAUAACGGUCAGUUUCUUGCACAGACUGAUCGUUUCACUUCAUAAGACCUCGAUAUAUCGUCAGGAGCCACGGGGAUUCAUUCUGUGUUCCUCGAUAUGCUAUUUUUAUUCUCAAAAACAGACAGCUGAUAAAAAUCUUCUUUACUGUUCUACAGAAAAAAAAGUUGGAUGGCAUGAGGGAGAGUAAAUUAAUAGCAAAUGUUCAUUUUUGGCUGAACUGUCCCUUUAAACACACGCCACAAGUCAUUCAUGAUAAUAAAGCAGAUGAGGAUUUACACAAGAUCAGCACUCACUAAAACACAACUCCUGACUGAACUCAGGCUGUGCCAGCUCAAAUAAACGAUCACUUGUAUUAUGAAGCAGGCAAAAUAACAAGCUCUGGAGGCAGUUAAAGGAUUUGUUUACAGCAAUAAUCACACAAUCUUCACUUUCAGACGAACUGUUUCUUUGUAGUUUGGGGCUGAAAUAUAUGCUGAUUGAAAAAUCUGUAAACAUAAAUGCACCUGAUCGAUAUCCAAGUCUGAGAGGCGCAGGAGAGCGUUGGCGUUUCUGGUCACAGCGAAGAUGUUUAACGUGAAGAGAAGCUCAGAUACGGGAAACGUGCCGAGGUUUUGGAUCUGCAGAACAAAUAGUUUCAGGAGAAACAUCUUAAUAUGUAUUCUGUUCAAAUGCACGGCGUAUGUGCUCUGAUUGGCUCUGAAGAAUAUUAUUUAAACCCUGGUUAGUAAACGAGGAGCCCACCUGAUAAGAGAGGUUGAAGGGCGGUCCGGUCCCAGCAGGGAGGCUCUGGUCAAGCUCAGGUUUGAUCUCAAAACGGGACGGGCUGGAAUCUCUGGAAGAAUGACUCAGUAUGAAUGAAUCAGUAUUAAAUUAAUUAGCUUUAAGAUAUUUCUGCGUGAAUCUCACAAAACCUGUCAAGAACAUGUCUGUGUCAUAUUUCACGUUCAAACUCAGAAGAAAGAAAAAAGAAGGUUUAUUUAUUUUAUUUAUUUUUUAUUUUUUUUAUUUUUUUUUUACAUCAAACUCGUAGAGGAUUCCUCAUUUUUUCCUGUUUUUUGGACCAUAAAGAUUUUUUUUUAUUAAAAACUUAAUAGACUGAAGUCAGUGUUAUUUUAGUAACAUUGAGAUACUACUGUAGUUUUUAUUAAUACAUUUUUAAAAAAUAAAUUGCAA